UACGGGGGGGGCAAGCGUUGUUCGGAAUCACUGGGCGUAAAGGGCGCGUAGGCGGCCAGGCAAGUCGGCUUGUGAAAGCCCGGGGCUCAACCCCGGAGGUGCGGCCGGGACUGCUUGGCUGGAGGCCGGAAGAGGAGGGUGGAAUACCCAGUGUAGAGGUGAAAUUCGUAGAUAUUGGGUGGAACACCGGUGGCGAAAGCGGCUCUCUGGUCCGGUCCUGACGCUGAGGCGCGAAAGCGUGGGGAGCAAACAGG
rnacentral:rRNA from 1 species